GACGUAGGGCGCGAGCGUUGUCCGGAUUUAUUGGGCGUAAAGAGCUCGUAGGCGGUUUGUCGCGUCUGCUGUGAAAACUGGGGGCUCAACUCCCAGCCUGCAGUGGGUACGGGCAGACUAGAGUGGCGGUAGGGGAGAUUGGAAUUCCUGGUGUAGCGGUGGAAUGCGCAGAUAUCAGGAGGAACACCGAUGGCGGAAGGCA
rnacentral:rRNA from 1 species